GAUGAGAACGUAGCGAAAUGCGAUACGUAAUGUGAAUUGCAGAAUUCAGUGAAUCAUCGAGUCUUUGAACGCACAUUGCGCCCUCUGGUAUUCCGGAGGGCAUGCCUGUCCGAGCGUCAUUGCUGCCCUCAAGCACGGCUUGUGUGUUGGGCCCCGCCCCCCGAUCCCGGGGGGCGGGCCCGAAAGGCAGCGGCGGCACCGCGUCCGGUCCUCGAGCGUAUGGGGCUUUGUCACCCGCUCUGUAGGCCCGGCCGGCGCCUGCCGAUCAACCAAACUUUUUUCCAGGUUGACCUCGGAUCAGGUAGGGAUACCCGCUGAACUUAAGCAUAUCAAUAAGCGGAGGA
rnacentral:misc_RNA from 1 species